CCCUCAAUUAAUUUCCUCUUUUAUUUAUUCUCCAGCCGUGUCCAAUUGUGUCCAGCCAUCCUUCAAAUUGUUGUCCUUGCUGGCUGAAUCUCUUCUCAAUCUCUUGGUGGCUAAAGCUCUCUUCCAAAUCCAAAUUUAUAUGUUUUUGUCAGCUGGUUCCCCAUUUACUCUUCGUCGUUCCCCCUUGAAGUUGUGUCUUCAGGAUGGUAUUUAUAUGCUCUUCAAAUCUUGAAAAAAAUAGGGUUGGAUUGGUUCGCGAGGAGAGUCCAACGAUUGUAAAAUUCUUCCCUUGCAAGGUGGCACCUCAGUGCCCAAUCUGGGCACUGUGGUGCCAUAAUUUCUGCAUAAUUUCAGCAAGCUGGGCGCUGCGGUG
rnacentral:lncRNA from 1 species